ensembl:misc_RNA Metazoa_SRP Metazoan signal recognition particle RNA
GCCAGGCAUGGUGGUGUGUACCUGUGGUCCCAGCUACUCAGGAGGCUGAGGUGGGAGGAUCACUUGAGCUCAGGACUUCAAGGCUGUGGUGAGCUAUGAUCGCACCACUUCACUCCAGCCUGGGCAACAGAGUGAGACCCCAUCUCAA